GGCCCCAUGGUGUAAUGGUUAUCACGUAUCCUUCACAUGUCCUCGAUGGUCACAUCAAGGCCGGAUAAGGUUCUGGGUUCGAUCCCCAGUGGAGUCA